rnacentral:rRNA from 1 species
UACGUAGGGUGCGAGCGUUAAUCGGAUUUACUGGGCGUAAAGCGUGCGCAGGCGGCCCGUUAAGACAGGUGUGAAAUCCCUGGGCUCAACCUAGGAAUUGCGCUUGUGACUGGCGGGCUCGAGUACGGUAGAGGGGGGUGGAAUUCCUGGUGUAGCAGUGAAAUGCGUAGAGAUCAGGAGGAACACCGAUGGCGAAGGCAGCCCCCUGGGCCUGUACUGACGCUCAUGCACGAAAGCGUGGGGAG